rnacentral:rRNA from 1 species
ACUCCUACGGGAGGCAGCAGUGGGGAAUAUUGGACAAUGGGCGAGGGCCUGAUCCAGCCAUGCCGCGUGCAGGAAGAAUGCCCUAUGGGUAGUAAACUGCUUUUAUAUCGGGAAGAAAAGGGCAGACGAUGGUGCCCUGCUUGACUGGUGACCCGUAAGAAUAAGGACCGGCUAACUCCGUGCCAGCAGCCGCGGUAAUACGGAGGGUCCGAGCGUUAUCCGGAAUUAUUGGGUUUAAAGGGUCCGUAGGCGGGCCGGUAAGUCAGGGUGGAAGAUCUGUAGCUCAACUAUAGAACUGCCUUUGAUACUGCCGGUCUUGAGUCACGGUGAAGUUGCCGGAAUAUGUGGUGUAGCGGUGAAAUGCAUAGAUAUCACAUAGAACACCGAUUGCGAAGGCAGGUGACUAACCGUGUACUGACGCUGAUGGACGAAAGCGUGGGAGCGAACAGGAUUAGAUACCCUGGUAGGCUCUGCU